rnacentral:tRNA from 1 species
CGUAGCUCAUUCGGGUAGAGCAAUAGAUUGUUAAUCUAUGGGUAGCCGGUUCGAUUCCGGCCGAUAAUCCA